rnacentral:tRNA from 1 species
GUCUUUAUAGUUUAAAAAAAACCAUAGUCUUGUAAACUAUAAUUGAUAUCCUAAAGACU